GAUGAACGCUGGCGGCGUGCCUAAUACAUGCAAGUCGAACGGGGAGUAUUGACUUCGGUUUUUACUCCUAGUGGCGAACGGGUGAGUAUCGCGUUGGUGACCUGCCCCGAAGCGGGGGAUAACAGUUCGAAAGGACUGCUAAUACCCCAUGUGGUCGUACUGGUUAGAGGCUGUGCGACUAAAGGAGUAAUCCACUUCGGGAGGGGCCUGCGUCCCAUCAGCUAGUUGGUAAGGUAACGGCCUACCAAGGCAAAGACGGGUAGGGGGCCUGAGAGGGUGGCCCCCCACACUGGCACUGAAACACGGGCCAGACACCUACGGGUGGCAGCAGUAGGGAAUAUUGCACAAUGGGCGAAAGCCUGAUGCAGCAACGCCGCGUGCGCGAAGAAGGCCUUCGGGUUGUAAAGCGCUUUUCUGGAGGAAGAGGAAGGACGGUACUCCAGGAAUAAGGAUCGGCUAACUACGUG
rnacentral:rRNA from 1 species